CAAUGGCUUUGCAGAGUUUUGGUGAGGAGUAACUGAGAUAAUGUGUGUAUUUGCACCAGGCACUGAACACAGAGCAGGCUGCCUGUAACUGUAGUUUCCACUGAUCUGGGACUUGGCUCAGCUCUGGGAUAAGAAGUGAUUAUCUGCAUAGACACUGGGGAUGCAAAGACAAAGCCUCAGGCAGAUCUCUGCAUGGACCACUGCAGUCUCCAUGUGAUACUUCUGGCAAAGGGCUUCCCCUUGCCCAGCCUCAAUUUCCUUAUUUGAAAAGCUUCAGAGGGAGAGAGGAGUCUACUCGAGACCGAACGGAUGUUGGAGAAAGAGGGAUCGGGGUAAGGGGAACAGCACAGAUAAUGCUACAGUAAAUAUUACUGCUCGUGUGGCUCUUCUAUAUUUUGGAUCACUCCUUUCAAGCAAGUUGUUAAGAUGUGUGGAAUCACUAGAUCGAAGGUCAUAAAUUUUUCAAGGCUUCCAAUACACCUUACCAACAUGUUCUCCAAAAUGUUUACACCAAUUUAUAGUCCCCGCUGACAGCGUUUGAGAAUAGAGGAGGCAGGUUUAAAACUUAAGCUCCUGUCAGUCUGUAAUGAAAGUAAGUAUGAA